rnacentral:lncRNA from 1 species
AUGGCAUAUGUUUUCUGUUUCCCUUAAUUUCUCAUUAAAAAAAUGACAACUCAUCACCAGAUUGAAGAUACAUAAUUGUUUUCACCAAACUUAAAGAAACAGCACUCAAGAGAAAAUGCCUCUUACUGUGUACGAGAUGUUCCCACAUCAGCAAGUUUUACUAAGAGAAGAUGUGCUCUGAGAAGACUUCCACGGUGGAUAUGGCCUCGCCUUGGGCUCUGGCUCUGUUUCCAAACUUGUCACACAGACUGGUGCAUGAGCACCCUUGGUACUGCCCUUGUCUGUCAAGCUGGGCCACAGGUAACUUUCCAACAUUUUAGCUGGAACCACACCUGCAGCUCUGUCAGAACUCCUCUGUGUAAGUUUCAGAGGCACAGUGAUUUUGGUUUGUUAGAGGUAGUGCCGUCAUGAGGUCGUCUGGUAUUUUAGGUUUGUAUUUUUUCCCUCC